UACGUAGGGUGCGAGCGUUAAUCGGAAUUACUGGGCGUAAAGCGUGCGCAGGCGGUUGUGCAAGACAGAUGUGAAAUCCCCGGGCUCAACCUGGGAAUUGCAUUUGUGACUGCACGGCUAGAGUGUGUCAGAGGGGGGUAGAAUUCCACGUGUAGCAGUGAAAUGCGUAGAGAUGUGGAGGAAUACCGAUGGCGAAGGCAGCCCCCUGGGAUAACACUGACGCUGAGGCACGAAAGCGUGGGGAGCGAACCGG
rnacentral:rRNA from 1 species